AUUGAACGCUGGCGGCAUGCCUUACACAUGCAAGUCGGACGGCAGCACGGGGGCAACCCUGGUGGCGAGUGGCGAACGGGUGAGUAAAGCAUCGGAACGUACCUGGGAGUGGGGGAUAACGUAGCGAAAGUUACGCUAUACCGCAUAUUCUGUGAGCAGGAAAGCGGGGGAUCGCAAGACAUCGCGCUUCUGGAGCGGCCGAUUUCGGAUUAGCUGGUUGGUGGGGUAAAGGCCUACCAAGGCGACGAUCCGUAGCGGGUCUGAGAGGAUGAUCCGCCACACUGGGACUGAGACACGGCCCAGACUCCUACGGGAGGCAGCAGUGGGGAAUUUUGGACAAUGGGCGCAAGCCUGAUCCAGCCAUGCCGCGUGAGUGAAGAAGGCCUUCGGGUUGUAAAGCUCUUUCGGUGGGGAAGAAAUCGCAUUCUUUAAUAGAGGGUGUGGAUGACGGUACCCGCACAAGAAGCACCGGCUAACUACGUGCCAGCAGCCGCCGUAAGAC
rnacentral:rRNA from 1 species